rnacentral:rRNA from 1 species
UACGGAGACUGCAAGCGUUAUUCGGAUUUACUGGGCGUAAAGGGUGCGCAGGCGGCUAUGUGAGUGGGGCGUGAAAGCCUGGAGCUUAACUCCAGAAUUGCACCUCAAACUGCUUGGCUAGAGCAUUGGAGAGGGUAGCAGAAUUCAUGGUGUAGCAGUGAAAUGCGUAGAUAUCAUGAGGAAUACCAGAGGCGAAGGCGGCUACCUGGACAAGUGCUGACGCUCAGGCACGAAAGCGUGGGGAGCAAAAGGG